GACGAACGCUGGCGGCGUGCUUAACACAUGCAAGUCGAACGGAAAGGCCCUGCUUUUGUGGGGUGCUCGAGUGGCGAACGGGUGAGUAACACGUGAGUAACCUGCCCUUGACUUUGGGAUAACUUCAGGAAACUGGGGCUAAUACCGGAUAGGAGCUCCUGCUCCAUGGUGGGGGUUGGAAAGUUUCGGCGGUUGGGGCUGGACUCGCGGCUUAUCAGCUUGUUGGUGGGGUAGUGGCUUACCAAGGCUUUGACGGGUAGCCGGCCUGAGAGGGUGAACGGCCACAUUGGGACUGAGAUACGGCCCAGACUCCAACGGGAGGCAGCAGUGGGGAAUAUUGCACAAUGGGCGGACGCCUGAUGCAGCAACGCCGCGUGCGGGAUGACGGCCUUCGGGUUGUAAACCGCUUUCGCAUGUGACGAAGCGUGAGUGACGGUAAUGGGUAAAGAAGCACCGGCUAACUACGUG
rnacentral:rRNA from 1 species